rnacentral:lncRNA from 1 species
AUGUACACCUUUCUUUCUUUGCCUUGUUUCAUAAAUCCACCUGGUUGUGCAACACAAACUUAUUCUUCUAAGGAGCUAUUCAUGAAUGCACAUUUCACGUCCAUUUAACACAUCUGCUAGCUAGUUGUUCAUGUUUGCUAGACCAACAACCAACCUGAUUGUUUCGAUCCUAGCAACAGGUGCAAAAACUUCAUCGAAGUUGAUUCCUU